ensembl:lncRNA novel transcript
UUUUUUUUUUUUUUUUUUGAGAUGGGGUCUCACUCUGACAUCCAAGCUGGGGUGCAGUGGCGCGAUCUCGGCACACUGCAACCUUCGCCUCCCAGAUUCAAGGGAUUCUCCUGCCUCAGGCUCCUGAGUAGCUAGGAUUACAGGCACAUGCCACCAUGCCCGUAUAAUUUUUUGUAUUUUUAGUAGAGACGGGGUUUCGCCAUGUUGCCCAGGCUGGUCUCAAACACCUGACCUCAGGUGAUCCGCCCAUCUCGGCCUCCCAAAGUGCUGGGAUUACAGGUGUAAGCCGCCACGCCCUGCCUAUAACCAUUCUUUUUUUAGGGAGGUGUGGUAUAUGGUGCUACCCUGGAUCUGUAGUCAGGAUUUGAAGAAGGGAGAAGGUAUUUGCUUGUGAAGAAGGCACCAUGCAUUGUGCUCUGUAGUGGUGACUGGAGAGAGAGCUGGGAGGGGCACAGGCAGCAAGGUCCCUGCUUAAAGACAGUUAUCUAGUUUGGAGAAACUUAGCUGGAUAGUCAGUUCUUACAUGCAUUUGGCAAGCACUUAUCAUACACUGUAAAGAGGCAAUAUGUCUAGCUUGUUAGAGGGUGGGCUCUGGAGUCAGACUUCUGGCUUUGAACCCCAACUUCCCUGCCAUUUUCAAAUGACACUGGAGAAGUCACAAAACCUAUUUCUGUCUCAGAUUCCUCCCCAGUAAAAGUGGGAUAUUAAUAGUACCUCCUUUGGCUUGAUAUGAAAAUUCAAUGAGUUGAUAUAUGCAGAACAUCUUAGAACAGCAACUAGCUUAGAGUAAAUCUUCAGUAAUUGUAAACUGUGAAUAUACUAUGUUUUUGGCACUGAAGCCACGUCGUGGUAAGACAGUGCCUGACCUCAAGAAGCUCAGAGUCUAGUACUGGAGACAGGUGAACAAAUACUUGCAAAGUGUGUGGUGUGAGAGAGGUGUGACAGGUGGGCGGGAGCCUGCAGCAGGCACAUCUGACCCAUCCUAGGUGUGUGUUGUGCAGAAAAGUUAGCCUAGGCUUUCUAGGGGCACUGAUGUCUGGGCCGAGUCUUGUAGGGCAGGGAAUUAGUCAAGGGGAGCUGUAGUGAUCCAGCUGGGGCUGAGCAGGAGCUGAAAGUGAACAGCUCACAUCUGUAGGGUUGCCAGAUUUAGCAACGGAAAGUACAAGAUGCCCUAUUAAAUGUGAAUUUCAGAUAAAAUAAUAACUUUGAAGAAUAUGUGUCAUGCAAUAUUUUUAGUAUAAGUAUGUCCCAAAUAUUGUAUAACCACACACAUUAUUCAUUGUUUAUCUGAAAUUCAAAUUUCACUGGGCAUCCUAUGAAAAGUCUGUCAAUUUUAUCUGUCCGCAUUUAGGAAGGUGCAGUAUGUUUCAGAGUAGCUGGAGUGAUGCAGGGAGGAAAGGCAGAGUGGGCCGGAUGGGGCUGAGAGGCACACAGGAGGCAGUUUGUAAAAAACCUAUGCUAUGUUAAGGGAUUUAGAUUUUAUCCUGAAAUUAGUGAUGAGCCCUUGGAGAGCUUUAACCACAGGGAUGUGAAACCACAGAGACAGCAGUGUCGGGCACGAAGAAAUGAGUGUCACUUUCUAUGGCUGAAUAGCAAAUUACUCCAAAUUUAAAGUCUUAAACAGUAAACAUUAUCUCCCAGUUUCUGUGGCUCAGGAAUUCAGAGGCAACUUAGCUGGGUGGUUCUGGCUGAGGUUUCUCAUGAGGUUGUAGAUAAGAUAGUGACCAGAGUGGCAGUUAUCUAAAGGAUGCACUGGAGCUGGAGAAUUUGCUUCUAGGGUGACUCACUCUAAUGGUUGGGAAGGUACUGCUGGCUGUCAGCAGGAGAGCUCAGUUCCUUGCUACAGGACCCCCCAUAGGACAACUUGAGCCUCCUCACAACAUGACAGCUGGCUUAGUAAUCCAAGACAGCAAAGUGACAUUAACUUUGGAAGUCACAUGCCACCUUGUCAUUCCCAUAUAUCCCAGUGCUAACACAGCUCAGCCCUGCUCAGUGCAGGAGGGUCCUACACAAGGAUGUACAUACAAGAAGGUGGGGAUCAUGGGGUUAUCUUGGAGGCUGGUUUUCUGGGAUGGGAGGCUUACAUGGUGAUGCCUGUGACCUUGGAGGUGGAGGAGAAUGAUGGGCGUACAGAGGAGUGAAGAAAGGCUGGGAGGAAUAGAGAUGUGGGAGAGGAGGUGAGGCAAAGAAAAAAGAAAGGAGGAAGGGGUGUUGGAGCAGAUUGUAGUUGAUCCACAGCAAAGAGCAUCACCAAAGCCAUUCCAGGAGGAACUAGAUCCACCACUUCCUCUGCUGGGCAUGCUCCAAAAAUGGUUGUGGCCUCCAGAGAGGACUCCAAAAGAAAGCACAAAAACUAGACAGUGGGAGGGCAUACCCAAAAGCCCUGAGUUUCUGAAAAAAUAUUGAAAGUUUCUAUGGUGAAAUAGGAAGUUAAUGUGCUUAGGAAGAAAAAAGUGGUAAUGAUUCAAGGAAACAUAAUCACACACGGUUUUAGUUUUAAUGGACAUGGGAGGAGCCAUAAAAGUAGUCUAUCUAUCAUCAGUUACAUAUCUAAUGAACUGUCUAUCUGGGAUACCCUAUCCUGUUUUAAUCUGAGUGACUCUCUCUCAGCUGAGAGAGCUGGACAGACUCCAUUUUAGCCUCUUCACUUGCAGUCCCCUUAUCCCCCUCCCUUAAGGGAAUAACUAGUGCAAGCUGACUCCAAGCACAUCCAGGAAUGCACUUACUGAUAAGAUAUUGAGGCAAGCUGUACCAGCAGCUCCUGGGGACGUGCUCAGUGGAUGGUACCCAAGCCCCUGCAUUUAUCUCUUUGUGAUAGUUUAAGCCCCUGCACCUGGAACUGUGUAUUUUUCUGUAACUAUCUCUGUAACCAUUAAUUUUUUUUAACUUUUUGCGUGUUCUGCUUCUGUAAAAAUUGCUUCAGCUAGGCUCCCCCUGCCCUAUUUAGACCACGGUAUAAAAAGAAAUCUAUCCCCUUCUUCGGGGCUGAGAGAAUUUUGAGCUCUAGCCAUCUCUCGGUCACUGGCAAUAAAAGAACUCCUGAAUUAG